GCUAGCUACAGGCUUAACACAUGCAAGUCGAGGGGUAGCAUGGUCUUAGCUUGCUAAGGCCGAUGGCGACCGGCGCACGGGUGAGUAACACGUAUCCAACCUGCCGUCUACUCUUGGACAGCCUUCUGAAAGGAAGAUUAAUACAAGAUGGCAUCAUGAGUCCGCAUGUUCACAUGAUUAAAGGUAUUCCGGUAGACGAUGGGGAUGCGUUCCAUUAGAUAGUAGGCGGGGUAACGGCCCACCUAGUCUUCGAUGGAUAGGGGUUCUGAGAGGAAGGUCCCCCACAUUGGAACUGAGACACGGUCCAAACUCCUACGGGAGGCAGCAGUGAGGAAUAUUGGUCAAUGGGCGCAGGCCUGAACCAGCCAAGUAGCGUGAAGGAUGACUGCCCUAUGGGUUGUAAACUUCUUUUAUAAAGGAAUAAAGUCGGGUAUGGAUACCCGUUUGCAUGUACUUUAUGAAUAAGGAUCGGCUAACUCCGUGCCAGCAGCCGCGGUAAUACGGAGGAUCCGAGCGUUAUCCGGAUUUAUUGGGUUUAAAGGGAGCGUAGAUGGAUGUUUAAGUCAGUUGUGAAAGUUUGCAGCUCAACCGUAAAAAUUGCAGUUGAUACUGGAUAUCCUUGAGUGCAGUGNAGGCAGGCGGAAUUCGUGGUGUAGCGGUGAAAUGCUUAGAUAUCACGAAGAACUCCGAUUGCGAAGGCAGCCUGCUAAGCUGCAACUGACAUUGAGGCUCGAAAGUGUGGGUAUCAAACAGGAUUAGAUACCCUGGUAGUCCACACGGUAAACGAUGAAUACUCGCUGUUUGCGAUAUACAGCAAGCGGCCAAGCGAAAGCGUUAAGUAUUCCACCUGGGGAGUACGCCGGCAACGGUGAAACUCAAAGGAAUUGACGGGGGCCCGCACAAGCGGAGGAACAUGUGGUUUAAUUCGAUGAUACGCGAGGAACCUUACCCGGGCUUAAAUUGCAGAUGAAUUACGGUGAAAGCCGUAAGCCGCAAGGCAUCUGUGAAGGUGCUGCAUGGUUGUCGUCAGCUCGUGCCGUGAGGUGUCGGCUUAAGUGCCAUAACGAGCGCAACCCUUGUUGUCAGUUACUAACAGGUUCCGCUGAGGACUCUGACAAGACUGCCAUCGUAAGAUGUGAGGAAGGUGGGGAUGACGUCAAAUCAGCACGGCCCUUACGUCCGGGGCUACACACGUGUUACAAUGGGGGGUACAGAGGGCCGCUACCACGCGAGUGGAUGCCAAUCCCCAAAACCUCUCUCAGUUCGGACUGGAGUCUGCAACCCGACUCCACGAAGCUGGAUUCGCUAGUAAUCGCGCAUCAGCCACGGCGCGGUGAGUACGUUCCCGGGCCUUGUACACACCGCCCGUCAAGCCAUGGGAGCCGGGGGUACCUGAAGUGCGUAACCGCGAGGAGCGCCCUAGGGUAAAACU
rnacentral:rRNA from 1 species